UACGGGGGGGGUAAGCGUUGUUCAGAAUUACUGGGCGUAAAGGGCUCGUAGGCGGCCAACUAAGUCGGACGUGAAAUCCCUCAGCUUAACUGGGGAACUGCGUCCGAUACUGGAUGGCUUGGAUUUGGGAGAGGGAUGCGGAAUUCCAGGUGUAGCGGUGAAAUGCGUAGAUAUCUGGAGGAACACCGGUGGCGAAGGCGGCAUCCUGGACCAACAUUGACGCUGAGGAGCGAAAGCUAGGGGAGCAAACGGG
rnacentral:rRNA from 1 species